CACUCGGUAGCUCAAAGGUAGCGCGUCUGACUCCAGAUCAGAAGGGUGCGUGUUCGAAUCACGUCCGGGUCA